rnacentral:rRNA from 1 species
GAUGAACGCUGGCGGCGUGCCUAAUACAUGCAAGUCGAGCGAACAGAUGAGGAGCUUGCUCCUCGGACGUUAGCGGCGGACGGGUGAGUAACACGUGGAUAACCUACCUAUAAGACUGGGAUAACUUCGGGAAACCGGAGCUAAUACCGGAUAAUAUAUUGAACCGCAUGGUGCAAUGGUGAAAGACGGUUUUGCUGUCACGUAUAGAUGGAUCCGCGCCGCAGUAGAUAGUUGGGAAGGUAACGGCUUACCAAGGGAACGAUGCGUAGCCGACCUGAGAGGGUGAUCGGCCACCUUGGAACUGAGACACGGUCCAGACUCCUACGGGAGGCAGCAGUAGGGAAUCUGCCGCAAUGGGCGAAAGCCUGACGGAGCAACGCCGCGUGAGUGAUGAAGGUCUUCGGAUCGUAAAACUCUGUUAUUAGGGAAGAACAAAUGUGUAAGUAACUAUGCACGUAUUGACGGUAACUAAUCAGAAAGCCCCGGCUAACUACGUG